rnacentral:lncRNA from 1 species
ACAUCUAUAACUUUCUUGUAACUGUUUUCUUAUAACAGAUUUAAAAAAGAAAAAUAAACACGAGGUUUUUAUUUAUAACCCGUUUCAAUAAUAAAUACGAGGUUUUUAUUUAUAACUCGUUUCAGUACAUUGCCUUUACCCUAACUAUGGUAGGAUUUUUCUUUAACCUUAGCUCGUGACUUUGCUCUUCAUUUGACUCAUUCAAUCAGUGAAUGUUUCAGGUUUGAUCUUUGAUUGUUUCCCAAUCUUCUUUGCCUUCUUUAUACACAUGCUCAUGUAUAUUAUAUAGUCCCCCAAGUGUUUGAGCGAUGAAGUAUGAAACCUAGAGCACUUGAUUGUUCCUCUCAUUUGGUCCUUUCUCUGAAAAGGAAAAACAUACAGGAGUCAGAGCUACGAUUAUAGGUGUAGACUGCUUAACCAGUUUGAAUUUUUAUCAGAAUAAUUAUAACCCAAGGCCAGGAAGUUUAAUUUAUUCCACGUAACUUGCAGGUCGUGACUCAUCAUUUAGUACAGGUUAGCUUUUUGUCUAUCAUCUACAAUCGUUAGUAAAAUUUUAAUAAUUCAAAAAUAUGGAUACCUGGCCGUGGAUAUUCCUUAAAAGUAGUAUUUCUUCAGAUGAACAUCAUUUUAAUGUGAAGGUAGUAUCUUGCCAUCCAUUGUUUCCAGCUCGUAUGCUCCUUUUCCUGCAAUAUCAUGAAUUCUAUAGGGUCAUU